GUGGGGAAUAUUGGACAAUGGGCGAAAGCCUGAUCCAGCCAUGCCGCGUGUGUGAAGAAGGUCUUCGGAUUGUAAAGCACUUUAAGUUGGGAGGAAGGGCAGUAAGUUAAUACCUUGCUGUUUUGACGUUACCGACAGAAUAAGCACCGGCUAACUUCGUGCCAGCAGCCGCGGUAAUACGAAGGGUGCAAGCGUUAAUCGGAAUUACUGGGCGUAAAGCGCGCGUAGGUGGUUUUGUAAGUUGGAGGUGAAAUCCCCGGGCUCAACCUGGGAACUGCCUCCAAAAAUGCAUGACUAGAGUACGGUAGAGGGUAGUGGAAUUUCCUGUGUAGCGGUGAAAUGCGUAGAUAUAGGAAGGAACACCAGUGGCGAAGGCGACUACCUGGACUGAUACUGACACUGAGGUGCGAAAGCGUGGGGAGCAAACAGGAUUAGAAACCCCGGUAGUCC
rnacentral:rRNA from 1 species